CGCACGCACGCACGCACGCACGCACGCACGCACGCACGCACGCACGCACGCACGCACGCACGCACGCACAGACAGACAGACAGACAGACAGACAGACAGACAGACAGACAGACAGACAGACAGACAGACAGACAGACAGACAGACAGACAGACAGACAGACAGACAGACAGACAGACAGACGCACGCACGCACGCACGCACGCACGCACGCACGCACGCACGCACGCACGCACGCACGCACGCACGCACGCACACACACACACACACACACACACACACACACACACACAGUAAGGUGAAUUGAAUGAAGACAUUCUUCGUUUUGAAGUAUGAAUCUAAAUCUGUCAAAUCAGACUCAUCAUUUUAAUCAAAAUGAGGGAGGUCAUUUAAGAUCAAACACAGAGCUUAAACAGACUUUCACUAUUACCAAGGCGACCAGAGGAGGUCGAACCUGGGUUGAGUUUUACUAUUUAGCUCACCUGCGCAGCUCGCACGCCAUGUGGUUUUCUUAAUUGGUUCAUUGGUUGCAUCUGGUGCAUUUCACAUAAGAGGGAAACGGACAAUACAUUUGUGUCCUCCACUGUUUGGCAGUUUAUCGUCUCCCAAACACGGUUAAAGACUUUUUGAAGUAAAGAGGAGCAUCUCAUCUGGACCUGAUGUCUAUCAUGGAUAUCUAACUGCAGUACUGUGAGUAUCCCAACUUUAACAUGAAGAUGAACUGCGAACUGUAAGUCAUUAGUUUCUCAUUACUCUUGGGCACAUUGAUGUAUGUUGGCUUCCUGGUGAGUUAACCCGUUAGCUGAAGGUUGAUCUGAUUAGUAAGGAUCUUUUAUUGGCUCAUGGGUUACUUAGGCGUUUGGUUUAUGUUGGUUUUAAUGGUUUGUUAAAAUGGUUACAGGCUCCAAGUUAUUGUUGUAAGCUGGAGUAAUGAGUUGGGUUCUGAUGUCUUCAGUCUUCUUUCCAGCUACUCUCCUGAGCUCUGCAUCUUCAUUACAUGAGUGUUGCUUUACUGAGGAGGGUGUGGUCUGAGUGAGCAGAGGUGCAUACUGGGAUACAGAGCUGUCUGAAGUCUACAGGUCUGUAGACACGCCCCCUCAGGGGAAACCGAGUGUUUGAGAAACCGUCGUGACGUCAGUUACAUGGACUGGAAUGUUCUUUAAGAUGGAGACAGGGAUUCAGAAGGAGAAACACCAGGGGGAGAUGAGCGGGCUCCUCAUCUCAACGACUUCAGUCUGACACAGAGAACCAUGGAACACUUUCAACAGUCCCCUCCAGGCAUCGUGACUCCUCAGGAACAGUUUCAUUCCAGAGAAGAUCUCAUUUGGGGCCAUUCCAAGAUGGAUCCUGCUCCUCAAGAGCCACCCCCCUCCACUGGGUGGUCUUCUGAACAGAUGAUCUCCUUCCUGUCCUCAGGCUGACUAAAGCUGCACCGUUUGCAUCUGUGACGGCCCCUCAAUCACUAAACCACUGGACUACAAACACAAGACUUCAGAGAUGUUGAAACAGCGUGCAUGGAGACUCCAAGCAUAAUCCAUCACCAAUGGGGGACGCCACUGAAGAAUGUUGUAAAUAAUUUACGUCUCUGGAGAUAUUGGUGGUUCUGUUCUGGGUGCCCUGACAGAAGAGCUGGGGGUGGAUGAUGGAAUGUUAUUUGGCAUGAGGUUUUUACCCUGCAUGAGUGUUUGGUCUUUUAUGGCUGCUUUUUAUGGUGUGUGUGUGUGGGUUUGACAUGAGAUGGAAAAUUUUUGAGCAUCGUUAGGGUUCUACUGUGUGUGUGUGUGUCCCACUCACACCCGGCACGGGGUUCUACGUGUGUUUCCUUGGUUCUGCGUCCUGCUUGCUUUGACAUUGAUCAUUUUCUUACGGGGGUCUGUAUGAUUGGCUUGGUGUAUUGGAAUGGUCAACUAAGUCAUACCUGCUGGACUGCCACACGUUUACUUGAGGCCUCCAGGAGACAUGAAGAGCCCUGAGCGACGCUCCAGAGCGAGAUCCUACACACUGGGCAGGAAGGAGAGUAUCCAAAUCAAGUGUAAAAGGAUGCAAGCGGCGUGUUCAGAUCAGCGACUUCAAACUAGGACUACACCAAUCAGGAUCAAUGGAGGAUGGACACCUAAAGGAAUUCCACAAGGACUCUGAAGUUGGAAAGGGACCUCAAUGGAUGUUCAAGAUGACCUUCAGACCUGUAAUGAGGCGCAUCUUCCUACCUGGCUGGAUUGAUGGAGAGCCCUGUGGAUCUUGUCUUGCUCUCAGUUGCACGUCUUCUCAGGCUGAACUGUAUUUGCUGUACAGGACUAGCUGAACGAUCGGUUCCCUUAAAUCAGAACCAAUCUGGGAACUCCAACUACUGCGCUCUUAAAGCUGAAGUUGUGCUCUUCAGCUGAGGAGGCAAGGAAACCUUCACUGGGGCUACAAUGUGUAUAGAGGAGACCGUUUCGAAGUGUUCCAUGGUACUCUGAUGAAGACCGUUGAUGUGUUUCACUGGCUGAGAGGAAGAACCCUCACAUCCUCCUCUUGGCCUUUCUCCUCUGAGAAUCCUGGUGCCAUCUUGAAGAAUAUUCCAGCUCAUGUAACUGAUGUCACGACAGAUUCUCAAACACUUGGUUUCUCCUGAGGGGCGUGUCUAUAGAACUGAAGACUUCAGACAGCACUGUAUCCCAGCACUCAUCUCUGCUCACUCAGACCACACCCUCAUGAGUAGGAUGCAACACUAUAGCGAUGGAGAUGUAGAGUUUUAUAAAUAAAGAGGGAGCAGACAACGAUGAUUCGAACCCAACUGCAAUUUAAGUCUUUAAAUCUUUAAACCAUGAAGAUGGUUGGAUAGUUCAGGAAUUGGGCUUCAUUUUAUUAUGGGCAGUCCUUUCGCUCAAAUGCCCACUUCUCACUGGACCUGUACAUGUGUUGUUUGGCUGGCAUGAUUUGCUGUUGGUAGUGAGGCGGUCAGGGUGACAUUGCUUGGCUAUGG